rnacentral:rRNA from 1 species
GGGGGGGCGGGGAGGCCUACACUGCAAGUCGAACGGUAACAGGAAGCAGCUUGCUGCUUUGCUGACGAGUGGCGGACGGGUGAGGAAUAGUCUGGGAAACUGCCCGAUGGAGGGGGAUAACUAUGGAAACGGAAGCUAAUACCGCAUAAUGUCGCAAGACCAAAGAGGGGGACCUUCGGGCCUCUUGCCAUCGGAUGUGCCCCUUUUAUGUUGAAGCUUGUUGGUGAGGUAACGGCUCACCAAGGCGACGAUCCCUAGCUGGUCUGAGAGGAUGACCAGCCACACUGGAACUGAGACACGGUCCUUACUCCUACGGGAGGUUUCAGUGGGGAAUAUUGCUCAAUGGUCUCUUGUCUGAUGCAGC